rnacentral:rRNA from 1 species
CCUACGGGAGGCAGCAGUGGGGAAUAUUGCGCAAUGGGCGAAAGCCUGACGCAGCGAAGCCGCGUGAGGGAUGAAGGUCUUCGGAUCGGAAACCCCUGUCAGCAGGGAAGCACGGUCACUGUGCUAAUCAGCAGUGAAUUGACGGUACCUGCAAAGGAAGCACCGGCUAACUCCGGGCCAGCAGCCGCGGUAAUACGGAGGGUGCGAGCGUUGAUCGGAAUUACUGGGCGUAAAGCGCUCGUAGGCGGUAUGUCAAGUCAAGGGUGAAAUCCCCGCGCCCAACCUGGGAAGUGCCUUUGAAACUGGCAAACUGGAGUGUGUGAGAGGAUAGUGGAAUGCGAGGUGU